AACUUUUCCAUGAAUUUUGCUAAUUAGCCCAGAGUACAAUUACGGCCGCUGAAAACUAAGCGUGCAGAAGAAGUUGCGUUAGUUCUCCUUGGCAUAUUUUGUACCUUUGUAGCUCCUAGCAUUCUUCAAAGCGAUAAUGGACUGGAAUUCUCCAACAUAAUUAUAGAAGAACUGUGCUCCAUGUGGAAAGAUUUGAAGAUAGUGCACAGUGUAAGCCAAGACACAGUCAGUCACAAAGAUCUGUUGCGAAUAAAUACAUUGAAAAUAUACUAAGUUCCCAGUUAGAGCAAACAAACAAACAAGUUGCCAGAGGGUCCUCGAUCUGUACAAUUCGCCAAGAAUCGAACUUACCCUUUUGGCACCAAGUGCAGUCCGUAUGAAGCUAUGUUUAAGGUUCCUGCCAAAAUCGGUUUUAAAGCGUCAUCACUACCAGAAGAUCCUUUACAAAAUAUUUCGACUUAGAAGAUUUUGAAAUAGAAGAACAAGUAGAGGAAACCCAGUCAGAUCUUGAUUCUGAAGAACGUGAAGAAACAGAAGUGGAUGAACCAAAUGAGCUUCUAAUAGAACAAGAACCAAAAAAACUGUCUUUCUAAAUAUGGAAAAAUAAUGUUUCUACGGGUAACGGUUAAAAAGUUAUUCUAAUUGUUUAUAAGCAAAAAAUAGACAUGUUCUUGCAAAAUAAUUUUACACUAUUUAAAAUUGUGUAAAUCUUAAAAUCGUAAAUCGACUUGAUUACAGAUGUAUAUAGCAACUUAGACAAAGGAUUAAGCUGUGUAUUUGUAUCACUAGAUUUACAAAAGCUUUUGAUACAGUUAAGCAUUAGUUACUUAUCUCAGUACUUGAACAAUAUGGUAUAACUGGUAUGUCCUUAGUAUGGAUGAGGGAUUAUUUGACAGGCAGAAUACAAAAAGUGCUCUGUAAUAAUGUGCUUCGUAUGGCCGAAGACAUGACAUGUGGAGUCCCUCAAGGGUCUAUAUUGGGAACAACAUUGUUCCUUAUUUAUAUAAACUCCAUUUCCAACCUACUUUUAAAAUCAAUGCUACUUCUAUAUGCUGAUGAUACAGGACUCUUGUAUGCUGAGAAAGAUCCCAAAAAAACUAGAAUAUGCUGUAGAAAAAGAUUUGACUGAUAUAGAUGACUGGCUCAGAUACCACAAGCUCUCACUUAAUAUGAGUUAGUGUGGUUACACAAUAAUUUCAAAUGUAGAAGUACACAGAGAGCAGAGAGUUACAGUUAAACUUUGGGAAAUUAAAAUUCGUUAAAAAAAUGUUAACAAAUAUCUUGGCUUAUACAUACAUAAUCGACUGACAUGGGAACAGCAUAAAUAUAUUUAACAUUUGUCAAAAAAUAGCUCCAGCAUCUUUCAUCUGCAGUUUGGGAUGUCGAUGAUUAUUGUUCCAUUGUUUCUACUCAGCCUACAGCUACACAAUCCGAAGCUGAUUCUUUGAAACUAUAUCCAAUAUCUGUGCUUUUUUCAAUCUCUUCCAGGCCAACGAAAUAACCAACGAUAGAGGAGUUACGCUUGAUCUCAUUUUAUCUCGAUUGGGUAUUGAUCUAUUGAAGGCUAUCGAUACUUUAAUUCCAGUGGACAUACGAGCCCCUUCCCAGUUCAGUUGGCCCACCUUUGGAAUUUGCAGUUUAUGACGAUUACCAUAAACAAGUGAUAAUCAACAUAUUUUUAUAAGUUCCCAUAUUAAUUAAUAUUGCAUUUCUUACUAAUAUUUAUUGAAAAUAUUACCCUUAUGGUUUUUUAUUUAUUUUAAACAAUAAUAAAAAAAUCACUAAAUCGUGGCUUUUGAUUCAAUUACAUCAACAUGCAUUGAUUUUUUCAUAAUUAUCUUAAAAUCAGAGUUAGGCUAUGGAAAAUGAUAUCAAAACAAUUGUCAAUUAAUGUCAAAUAGAUUUUGUGAUAUUAUAAAGCCUAUUACCGUUUGUCGGAAUAAAGUCAUCGAUGGGAGUCAGUGAAGGUAAAGUUAUGGAUGAGAACAUUUCGCCUCUUUGCUUCAAUAACGUGACAAGUCCAAAAACUCAAUAUUUUUUUUAAUUGAUAAUUAAAACCGCAGUGUCAAACUUUAUUUUCUCCAAAAACGCGGUAUCUAUUCAGUGAGUAAUAGCAAGUGUAUGAGGAAAAGAAACAGCGGAACGGUGCUACAUUGCGAUAUCACGUUAUCUCUUUCUUCCGAGUGCUUUGCUUCAAAAACGAGACAAGACUGUUGUCAUUCCGCAAGCGAAGCCUAGUUGUUCGACAAAAAAGUGAUAUCACGACGAUAUUACAUUGUGAUUGCAAAGAUGGAAUCGUGAUCUAAGAGGAUCCUUGAACUUGCAAUGGCAACCGAGAAAUCGAACAUUCCCGUUCUAAUGACUAGGACAGAUAAUGGCACAACAUAAAACAUACAGAAUGGAACUUCAAACAUAGAGGACUCAUUGUUAACAGAAGAAAAAGUUGACUUAACAUUUCCGAAUCGUAGUCGUUGUGAUUCGACUAGCUGUAGUUCGUCUAGUGACUCGUCGACCAGCUCAUCAAGCUCUUUGAGUGAAGGUAAUUUUAUGUAUUCAAUUAAUGUUCAUUUCAAUGUAAUCAAAAGAAUUUCAUUUUUUUAACUAAUUUCAGUAAUAUUCUAUUCAAUGUAAUCAAAAGCAUUUCAUUUUUUUUACCUAAUUCUUGUAAUAUUCUAACCAUAAUUUUCUUUACAGAUAGCGACGACUCCGUAAAAGACCCAGACUAUGAAGAUGCAGAACUAAGACAUCGUAAUCGAAGAAAUGCUUCAUGUUCUGACGAAUAAGAUUUACCUAUUAGCACAAGAAAUCAAGACAAUUUUUUAUGUGAAAAUGUGAAUCAGCUACCUAGGGAAGAUCAUGAAAUGAUACUUAAUAACCUUAUACCAAUACAAAGUAAACCGUCUGAUAAGGAAAAUAUAAGCGCCCCUCAACAGAAGUUAACAAAUCCAGAUUGUAGUCAAAAUAAAAUAGGAAAGAAAAGACGAAGACAAGAAGAUAAUUGGCAAAAAAAUGUAGUAAAGAAACUGAGAAAUUGUGGAAAAUCUUAUCAAACACUUAAGGCAAAGAAAUCCAUUCCAGAAUGUACAUUGAAACCACCUUGCAGAAAAAGUUGUGCUUUCAAAUGUCGGUCAAAUAUCACA
rnacentral:lncRNA from 1 species